GUCUAGGGCCAUACUACCCUGAACACGCCCGAUCUCGUCUGAUCUUGGAAGCUAAGCAGGGUCAGGCCUCGUUAGUACUUGGAUGGGAGGCAAGUCCUAGGCU